AGCGGCGGACGGGUGAGUAACGCGUGGGAAUAUGCCCUUCUCUAAGGAAUAGCCUCGGGAAACUGAGAGUAAUACCUUAUACGCCCUUCGGGGGAAAGAUUUAUCGGAGAAGGAUUAGCCCGCGUUAGAUUAGGUAGUUGGUGGGGUAAUGGCCUACCAAGCCUACGAUCUAUAGCUGGUUUGAGAGGAUGAUCAGCCACACUGGGACUGAGACACGGCCCAGACUCCUACGGGAGGCAGCAGUAGGGAAUCUUAGACAAUGGGGGAAACCCUGAUCUAGCCAUGCCGCGUGUGUGAUGAAGGCCUUAGGGUCGUAAAGCACUUUCGCCAGAGAUGAUAAUGACAGUAUCUGGUAAAGAAACCCCGGCUAACUCCGUGCCAGCAGCCGCGGUAAUACGGAGGGGGUUAGCGUUGUUCGGAAUUACUGGGCGUAAAGCGUACGUAGGCGGAUUAGUAAGUUAGAGGUGAAAUCCCAGGGCUCAACCCUGGAACUGCCUUUAAUACUGCUAGUCUUGAGUUCGAGAGAGGUAAGUGGAAUUCCGAGUGUAGAGGUGAAAUUCGUAGAUAUUCGGAGGAACACCAGUGGCGAAGGCGGCUUACUGGCUCGAUACUGACGCUGAGGUACGAAAGUGUGGGGAGCAAACAGGAUUAGAUACCCUGGUAGUCCACACCGA
rnacentral:rRNA from 1 species